GCCAAGCUUGCGGGCAGGACUUGAGCUGUUCCACCGAGCAGGGAGCUCAGAGGCAGCAGGGGCUCACCAGCCUGGGAUGUGACCACCUGGGGCUGUUUGCCAAGGGCAGGAGCAAGUUUGCCUGAGAAGUUCUGACACCCCCACUGGCCCUGGCAAGGAGACUGAGUGCAGGCUCUGUGUGCAACCGGAGUGUCCUGAGAUUGGCUCUGUCCCCCGCAGAAACAAGCUGUGUGAUUAUGGGCUGGAGUGCAGUGGUGCAGUCACGGAUCACUGCAGCUUGGAACUCCUGGGCUCAAGCCAUCCUCCGGCCUCAACCUCCUGAGUAGCUGGGACUACAGGGAUGGUGAUGAAGGACCCCAGAAGCGCUGCCUGUACACCCCCAACCAGGCUCCAGUGGGUGCCACUUGUCCCGGCCUGAAGUCACAGCCUCCAGAUGCUGCCUCCCUCUGCCAAUUCCUAUACCUGCUGGGGUGGACACUGAGGGCCAGUCCCAGACUUGGGAGCAGGGUGGGAGUGGGAUGGGGGGUGGUGCGUAGGGAGGACCUCUAUGUGGCCCUGAUUGUUGGCUCAGUUUCCUCUGCCUGGAGGAUGGGUCGAGGUGUCCCCUGGUUGUGACAGAACGGAGGCUGUGGGUUCUCAGCCCCUGCAAUCCCCACCCUGCAUUUGGAAUAUUCUGUCCUGGCUCCUGAGUCUGAAGAAGGUGCAAAAUAUGUGGUUUGGAACUCGUAUUGAAUCUGAGCGUGGCUCUGGCUCUUGCAGACUCAGAAUCUUUUCCGUUCUAGCUUCAGUGUGUCUGAGACUCAUUGUUUGCUAAGGAUUGAUUCCAUGAAUGAGUGACCUGCCCUCAGUGGGGCCCAUCCUUGAUCGAAGGCUCUGUUGUUGCUGUCUUGAAACUCAAUAAUGUCUGAACAAGAGACCCGGCAUCUCCAUUUUGCACCGGGUUCUGUAAAUUAUGUAGCCAGUCUCAGUUCACUUUUAGUUGUCUGCCCUUUAGU